rnacentral:ncRNA from 1 species
ACACAACUCUGGAAAGCGACUUUCGCACCGAAGGAGCAAAUCUCUCAGGUAACAAGACAGAGCUA